rnacentral:lncRNA from 1 species
AAGGAAAGGACCAAGCUCGGUUGAGGCGCGGCCCAGCCGCAGCCGCAGUCACAGCCUCAGCCGCAGCGGCCGUGCUACCUAGGUGAUAGCGGAGCGGCUGGGUAGGAAGCAAUUGUUCUCAAACUUCACUAGCCCCGUCGGCGCGGACGCUUGUCGAGAAUGCAGAUUCCUGGGUACUGCCAGAUACGAAUUGAGCAUACCACAAAAAAGUUCUCAUUUUGUGUCCUCCCAUCCCAUUCUCCUCACUAACCAAAGGCUAGGAAUUAUCUGUGAAUGUAGGACCACUGGAUUUGCAGUCUUCAUCUGACACUGUGGAGAGUUUCUAGGAAUGAAACAGAUAUAUGGCCUUGGGUCCCCUUUUUUUUUCUUUUUUUUUUUUUUAAUAGAGACGAGCAUCUCACUAUGUUGCCUAGGGUAGUCUUGAACUCCUGGCCUCAAGCAAUCCCCACCCGACUCCGCCUCUCGAAGUGAUGGGAUUACAGGCAUAAACCACCACGCCUGGCCAGAAGGUGCUUUAACACCAAAUCUGAAAAUUGUUCAGAAGAGAAACAUUGAGCAUGAACACCAUCUGUGCGAGUCAUUUACUUAUUGCCCCUCACCUCUAAAUCUACCUUCUGUACUCUUCUUCCCUGUAAUGAUGGGGCUAGUUGUCCUCAAACUGUUUCUCAGACUUCUUUUUAAGCUUGCUUCCUGUUCAGUUCUGCCAAUAGGGGUCACUAGAGAGAGACUGGGAGGCAGAAGGAGAGAAUAUGCUUCCUGUUUUUUCUGUUCUUGUUAAUGUUGCUUACAGGACCAGCAAUGCUUCUUCACCUAGAGACACUUCUCCCAGCAGUGGCAGUGCCACUUCAGCUUCUUUCAGCACUACUGGAAUCAGCCUCAGUGAUUCCCCCUGUACCCGCUCAGAGAUUAUCCACAGCAGCCAGAUGGUUCUACCUUCCACAAAGAUUGUGGUUGCAAUUCUGGGCUUCUAAGUUCUGGUUACUUCAUAUUUUUCCUUUUGUUCCUCCAGCCCUAGAGGUGGUAGCUGCUUUCUGAAGUUAUUAUUUCUAGAUGACUUUUGGUUUUUCAGCCUUUGUAUUUUGCUUUUCAGCCCUCUAAUGCCUGUAUAACCAAUUUCCCUGUAAUAAAUAAAUUUCCUCCAUUGAAAUACCUA